UUUCCGUAGGUGAACCUGCGGAAGGAUCAUUAUCGAGUUUCGACUGGGUUGUAGCUGGCCUUCCGAGGCAUGUGCGCGCCCUGCUCAUCCACUCUACACCUGUGCACUUACUGUGGGUAUCAGAUCGUGAAGCGUGCUCUUUUACCGGAGCUUGUGAAGCGUGUCUGUGCCUGCGUUUAUCACAAACACUAUAAAGUAUCAGAAUGUGUAUUACGAUGUAACGCAUCUAUAUACAACUUUCAGCAACGGAUCUCUUGGCUCUC
rnacentral:misc_RNA from 1 species